rnacentral:rRNA from 1 species
UACGUAGGGCGCAAGCGUUGUCCGGAAUUAUUGGGCGUAAAGAGCUCGUAGGUGGCUUGUCGCGUCUGUCGUGAAAGCCCCGGGGGCUUAACUCCGGGUCUGCGGUGGGAUACGGGCAGGCUAGAGGCAGGUAGGGGAGAAUGGAAUUCCCGGUGUAGCGGUGAAAUGCGCAGAUAGUCGGGAGGAACACCGGUGGCGAAGGCGGUUCUCUGGGCCUGUACUGACGCUGAGGAGCGAAAGCGUGGGGAGCGAACAGG